GGUGCAGGUGAUGACACUGUAAAGCAACCAAAGUUUGAACAAAAUGAUUCGUACCUCUUUGUCUGAUGCCCU
ensembl:snoRNA